UACGAAGGGUGCAAGCGUUACUCGGAAUUACUGGGCGUAAAGGGUGCGCAGGCGGUUCUGUAAGUCAGAUGUGAAAUCCCCGGCUUAACCUGGGAAUUGCGUUUGAAACUACAGAUCUAGAGUGUGGCAGAGGGGGGUGGAAUUCCAUGUGUAGCAGUGAAAUGCGUAGAGAUAUGGAAGAACAUCGAUGGCGAAGGCAGCCCCCUGGGUUAACACUGACGCCCACUGCACGAAAGCGUGGGGAGCAAACAGG
rnacentral:rRNA from 1 species